UUUGUUGAUUUGUUUUGGUUUAUACAAUCAAAGUUUGGACAAUGCAACGCUGCUUUUCAUGAGAAAGGCUUUGAUUUGUGGGCUUUUUUACGGGGAAUUUUUUUUAUAGUUUUGUUUUAAUUAAAUUUACUUGAAUUUUUAAGUUUUCUAUUGUGAGCUAUCCUAAAUUCAGCACAAAGCCGAAAAGAAUCAUUGAGUUUUUAAACUAUUUCUUCACUUUUGGGACUUUUAUUAGAAGGUGUUCCAUCAGUAUUAAAUCAAGGAGAGUGAACAGCAUUUGGAUGUGGAGAGGGGAUGGGGAGACCAGUAUGACUGCAUAACCUGCAUAAGCACAAAGGAAAGGAGCUCAGACUCCAGACAUGCAGUUAUAAUUCAUUCAGCCUAGGCAGCUGCUGAUUGACGGAAAUCCAUGAAAUUUCCAAAGCAAAUAUACAGAACUGACAAGAUGGUUGAACAAAUUCUUAUGUCAUAUUUUGAUUUAACUCUUUCAAAGCACUCAUUUUAAAUUGAAAGGCAGAGAAAAUGUAUUUGCUUGUUUUUUCACUGUGUUUUGUUAUUUUCCAGUAACAUAGUUGGAGAAAACCAAUUUUUCUGGGUUGAUGGAAUUAGUAUUGAGAAACAGAAAUGUUUGGCUUUAGAUCACUGAGUUGAACUGGAAGGGGUAAAGCCUGUCAAGGUUUAGUGACUGCUCCAAGCUGCAUACAGAAUUAAUUAGUAGAUUCAAUUUUAUUCUUGGUUGCACAAAGAUAAAAAAUACCACUACUAUGACUUAAGCCUUUUUUGGCAAGCUCAACAGAACAAGAUAGGUCAAGCUUGAAAGCAAAAGAGUGGGGUGGAGUGGGUUGGGAUGGGGGAAAUUUCCUCUCAAUCCUACAGGUGCACUAUCUAAGCCAGCACUGGAGCACAUGAAGGAGGUCCGUACUGCCACAACACCAGCUGGAUCUCCUCUGAGCUUAACCAAAAGACCUGGACACACAAAUUCAGAUUGGAAUGGCCUGAAAACACUUCAUUUAAAGAUAACAGAUCUCCAGUGUCUGUCACCAGAACUCCUGAGUUUUCCCAGGCUUUCAGUGGGUCCCAGGAAGUUAAACUAGAACGUGCUGUAAAUGGAGUAGUCCUCUCUAGCUCUAAACAGACCACUAAGCACAGCACACUUUCACUGUGUUUGACAAAAGGAACAUUUUCAGCACAUUUUUAUCAGUGCCUGGCUUUUAUUUCCCCAUUUGUAAGGUUCCUGGUAUUAAGUUCAUCUUAAGGCAAACAUUCACUGUGCACUGAUAACAAACUGGAGACACUCUGCAUUCGAUAGUGGUAAAGUAACCCCUUUCUUCCACAAAAUACAAAAACAUAUUUAUUUUAGCUAAGUUUGCCUAGGAAUUGAUGUUAUUUGUCUUACAAUGUACAAGGAAGAAAAAAAAGGUCCUUGAGCUACAGUAAAGAAAAAUUUAUAUAAAAUUUUUGCAUGUGACAUUUGAAAAUCUCUGAAUCACUUCUAUGAAUUCUAUCAAGACAAAAAGAUUGUUGUUAACAGAUCGCUAUUUCCAGGAAUGUCUCCAUUGAACAUUAGGUCAAAAUUGCAAAACUAUCCUAAUUCAAAUAAUUUUUGAACCUAGGGGAAUUUUUCAACGAGGACAGUAAAGGAAGUAUUUAAUACUAAUAUGUCGUUGCACUUAUAUAUUUAUAAAUAACUGUAAUAAAUAUUUAUUUAUGCACACUUUAAAUUUGAGAUUGCUUAUGUUUAAAUGGAAUUAGAAAAUAAGAGUUAAGGUUGAAUUCUUGUUUCAGCAUACACAGGAAUUAAUUUUCUUUGAAUAUUUUCUCAUAUUUACCCUAAGUGUGCUGCCUUAUUUAAUACUAGUGAAAAUAUGCUUCCUUGAGAGAAAAGUCAGGAGAAAUAAAGAAUUAUAAACUGAAUGUUUAAUUCAGUUCAAAAUUUGAGGAAAAUAUGCCUUGUUUUAAGGCAAAAAAGGUACUUUUACCUAACUCUUAUUGAAAAGAUGUCUUUGACUGACAUAUUUUAUCUAAUCCUACUUAUUUAAGAAAAUAAAGGUGCUUCACGGCAGUUCUAUUUCCAGCUCUCUGCCAUUAGACUGCUUGCCAAGUUUUUCUUGGCUAACACUAUGGAUAAUUAUUUUUCAACUAUGUGCAUUUUAGCACUCAAACCACAAUAUUUACCGACAUAACAACUACGGAUAGAGUGCAAGUUCCUCAAAUCAGUAUGGCAGAGCCAUUUUUGUGAGCAAAAGCCAUAAGGAUAAGAUACCAGUAUAAAUGAUAGCUAUUUCAAAUGUACAGAUAUUCAAAUGCUGUAAGCACAGAUUUACUCUUUAAUAUAAUUUACACUGGUGUUACCAAGCCCAGUGUAUUUCUUUAAUUGUUGUUUUAACAAGUUACCAAUAAACCAAUAAAAAUAAGUGCUAUUAGCAA